ensembl:lncRNA
UCACUGAACCUUAAUGGGGCCUCCCUGGGGGGCGCUAGUAGUAAAGAACCCGCCUGCCAAUGCAGGAGACACAAGAGAAGUGGGUUCGAUCCCUGGGUCGGGAAGAUCCCCGGAGGAGGGCAUGGCAACCCACUCCAGUAUUCUUGCCUGGAGAAUCCCAAGGAUAGAGGAGCCUGGCAGGCUACAGGCCAUAGGGUCGCAGAGUCAGACACAACUGCAGUAACUUGGCAUGCACAAACUGUAAUUAAAACUGGAAUUUAGGCCCAAUCUGCCUCAGAGGGUGGACGUACCUUCAGGGGAGGCAGGAUGACAAAGGUGAGGCGCAGGGGUCCCCCUGCCUGGACACAGCAGGCACUGGCCACCCUGCCUCCUCAAGCCUGGCUCUCCCCGUCUGGGACGAUGGGACGAUGGGACGAUGAGACCCACCCGCUGGGGCCGUCCUGGGGAUGCGAUGAGCUAACACUCCUGGUGUUAGGAGUUCCCGGAGCGCAUGAAGAGCUCUCAGUCCACGCUGACUCUUACUGCUGCGCCUCGGCUUCUCACGUGAACUUCCUUAUGUCUUAGCACCUCUGAUUUGGUGGGCCAUGAACGCCUCUUGUCCUAAUCCGCCUCCAGACGCGUGACGCCCAGGCCGGACCCAAAGGCAGCCCCAGGCCGUCAGCUUCCUUGGGGCGCUGUGCCGUCCGCGGCCUCGGGCGGCCCUCGCCCAGGCGCUCAGCCCCUGCACGGCUGGGCUCUCGGGAUGUGCGGGCCCUCCUUCUCCCUCCUUCUCCCUCCAGAGAGGCAGACCGCGCUUGUCUGGUGUCUGCUCCUGCCGCCCUGGCGUCAUCAGGGAGCCUGGUUCCUUCCUCCAGGGAGCCGGGUUCUGUGACCAAGGACGCUCCAAAAAAUGGUCUGUGCCGAGAGGAGGAACAGGUGCUCCCUGACGGGUACCCGAAGAAGGAGGGGGCGCCGCCUUGAGAAUUUGGGGCAGGACUCUGGGGCCGAGGAUGCUGGCCAGGCUACGGGGAGGCGUCCUCAAGGG